GAAGAAAGCAAAAGCAGACCGAUGGGCUACCCCUACCUUUGUAUAGAAUACUGAUUGAAAAUGAGGGAGACAAUAUACCAGUUCAGUUGGAUCAGCAACAGUUGUCCAUGUGCUGCAGUAUUUAUUGGAUCCAACCAAAUCAGAAGAGAAAACCCUGAAGCAAAUUUAUAUGGUAAUACAGGGAUUUCUAAGAGUGGAGGAUCACAGGAGUGGAACUGUUUCAUUUACCCAACACCUUGAGCUGACUGAUCAAGGAAAAUAUGAAGCAGUUUACAGAUGAAAGUUCUGCUGGAAGCACAGAGAUUAAUACUGAACAAUACAUGUUUAACCUCUGUCCGGACUCAUCAUAACAGAAAGUAUUUUCAAAAUGUUGCAAUCACAAAAAUCUUCUGGGAGUUGGAAAUCAGUCUUACAGAAAUUGAAGAUCAAGUAGGAACACUGCAGCAAAUUUAUAUGCUACAA